GAUGAACGCUGGCGGCGUGCCUAAUACAUGCAAGUCGAGCGAACAGACGAGGAGCUUGCUCCUCUGACGUUAGCGGCGGACGUGUGAGUAACACGUGUAUAACCUACCUAUAAGACUGGGAUAACUUCGGGAAACCGGUUCUAAUACCGGAUAAUAUAUUGAACCGCAUGGUUCAAUAGUUAAUGACGGUUUUUCUGUCUCUUAUAGAUUGAUCCGCGCCUCAUUAGCUAGUUGGUAAGGUAACGGCUUACCAAGGCAACGAUGCGUAGCCGACCUGAGAGGGGGAUCGGCAACACAGGAACUGAGACACGGUACAGACUCCUACGGGAGGCAGCAGUAGGGAAACGUGCGCAAUGGGCGAAAGACUGACGGAGAAACGCCGCGUGAGUGAUGAAGGGCUUCGGAUCGUAAAACUCUGUUAUUAGGGAAGAAAAAAUGUGUAAGUAACUAUGCACGUAUUGACGGUACCUAAGCAGAAAGCCACGGCUAACUACGU
rnacentral:rRNA from 1 species